AAAUCAAUCGACCCUGAGAGUUGUACAUUGUAUAAAAUUUUACGGAAUAGAAAGUGCUCAAUCUCAAGUUAAAAAUGUGUUUGUGUGAAUCGUGUGAUUGCUUAGACAACUGGUGUUGUUCACUGAAGCGAAAAGUUUGGGCUUUUGGUAUUUGGACUAUCAUUUUUGGAAUUUUAGCUUUGAUUUUACAUGUAGUGCAGUAUACACUUUUCGAAAAUCGCGAUGCUCCUGCGUACAAGGAUAAUGAAUAUUAUAAAGUAACUUAUUCAUUAAAUUUUAACGGUCAUAUUUUAAUGAUUGUUCUGGCGUGCCUUACUGUGCUUGCUGGACUUCUAAUGCUAUACAGUAUUAAAGCAUCCAUCGCACCACUGUACAUGGUGACCAUAGUUGUUGGCUCAAUAUGUCCUUUCGUUUAUUUUUUUUUAGUGAUAGUGCCAAUUGUGCAAGUUUUAUUCAUAAUCAUUGGAUGUAGAUACUAUUCAAAUGUAUUAAAGUGAUAAUAUACAGAUCAUGAAUAUU